rnacentral:rRNA from 4 species
GAAUGCUGACAUAAGUAACGAUAAAGCGGGUGAAAAGCCCGCUCGCCGGAAGACCAAGGGUUCCUGUCCAACGUUAAUCGGGGCAGGGUGAGUCGACCCCUAAGGCGAGGCCGAAAGGCGUAGUCGAUGGGAAACGGGUUAAUAUUCCCGUACUUGGUGUUACUGCGAAGGGGGGACGGAGAAGGCUAUGUUGGCCGGGCGACGGUUGUCCCGGUUUAAGCGUGUAGGUGUGUGUUCCAGGUAAAUCCGGUUCACUUUAACACUGAGGCGUGACGACGAGGCACUACGGUGCUGAAGCAACAAAUGCCCUGCUUCCAGGAAAAGCCUCUAAGCAUCAGGUAACAUCAAAUCGUACCC